rnacentral:rRNA from 1 species
UACGGAGGGUGCAAGCGUUAUCCGGAUUUACUGGGUUUAAAGGGUGUGUAGGCGGGCUUUUAAGUCAGUGGUGAAAUCUCCGGGCUCAACCUGGAAACUGGCCAUUGAUACUAUUAGUCUUGAAUUUUGUUGAGGUAGGCGGAAUAAGUCAUGUAGCGGUGAAAUGCAUAGAUAUGACUUAGAACACCAAUUGCGAAGGCAGCUUGCUAAACAAAUAUUGACGCUGAGGCACGAAAGCGUGGGGAUCAACAGG